UUUUAAUUAUCUUUAUUAUUUAACUUACGCUUUCAUAAGAUUAAUUAAGAGUUUAAAACGAUCUUCUCGAGAAAUUAUUGAACAAACGUAUCUUUUCCCUAGAUCAUCGUAUUUACUUCGGUGUUAUGUAUGAUACUUUGUAGAAAAAAGUUAUAUAGUGCCAUUUAAUAAGAAGAAGAAGUUGCUAGCAAGGUUAAGAUUGGAAGUUCAUUAAAUUCAUCAACGACACACUUCUACAUCUUCUAUAUCUUCAAGUUUCUGAAAAAUGAGACUAGUGAAGUCUAAUCAAGUGUAUUCAAAUAAGACAGAAAAUUGUAUAAGCCAUGAGCAAUAUUUUAAAUCAGAUAAGUACAAGGCCAAUGGAAAGAAUGGAAACGCGACUUCGAUGGAGGAAAGGAAACCUGCUUGAGAGAUUCUUUUUUGAUGGAAAGAUUAUUGAGGGUUGUUUUCCAAACAGUAUCCUUGACGAACUAUUAGAAUCUUAUGAUCAAGCCAUACGAUACAAUGAAUGUAAUCUAAAUGUUCUCAAAAAAGCUGCGUAACAACCUUCUUCUAUAUAGUAUCAAUGGACGACAAGCUGCUUCCAAACUUUUCUUCAAGCGAUUAGUGUAAAUAUAUAAUAGUUGUAGCAGAGCUUUAUAUGCAAGAAUUCUUUACCUGAGCCUGUUACAUGGACUGUAAGAUCACUUUACAGAGUUUUUACCGAAAAGUAAAUUUUUAUUUAAACUAUUCUUUACUCACAAUUCUAGAAAUUUUUUUUAUCAUAUGAUCCAUUUUAUCAGGAACUAUUUAUGUUUAUUUUAUUUUUUCUAUACUUCAUUUAUAACUUUUUUUGAUACUAAGUCUCUAAAAUGAUAGAGAUAUAUCAUAAAAUAAAUACGAAAGUAUUUAAAAAAAAGAAAUUAGAGAGAAGAAAUAUUUUAUUUCAACUCAUAGUAUACGUACUUCAAUGAAAAUGGAAGAGUAAAUUUAUAAAGUAUAUAUAAGUAACAUACGUUAGUUUCAUUAAGUUUGAUACAAUAAUUCUCUGGAAAGUUGAUCAUGAAGUUGGCGAAUUUAGUAUUAAUGGGAUAAGGUAUUUGUAGUAAAUAUCAUUUUCAGUGUCAUAUCUUAUCAUUUUCUACCUCAUACUGCAUUUAUUUUUUACGUAUUUGGAAUUCGGAAGUGUGUGUAUUUAUUAUUUAUAAUUUCCAAUAAUUUCGAAUCAUAAUAGACUGAGAUUGUAAUUAUAAUAAAUUGCAGUGUUUGAAUUGUA